rnacentral:rRNA from 1 species
GCUUGUCUCAAAGAUUAAGCCAUGCAUGUCUAAGUAUAAAUGGUAUACAGUGAAACUGCGAAUGGCUCAUUAAAACAGUUAUAGUUUAUUUGGUAAUCGAAUUUACAUGGAUAACCGUGGUAAUUCUAGAGCUAAUACAUGCUGUAAGCCCGACUUUUCGGAAGGGCCGUAUUUAUUAGAUAACAGACCAAUGCCCCCCCGGGCUUUGUGGUGACUCAUAGUAACUAAUCGGAUCGCAUGGGCCUGUCCCGCGACAAACCAUUCAAGUUUCUGCCCCAUCAGCUUUCGAUGGUAGUGUAUUGGACUACCAUGGCUUUUACGGGUAACGGAGGAUUAGGGUUCGAUUCCGGAGAGGGAGCCUGAGAAACGGCUACCACAUCUAAGGAAGGCAGCAGG